rnacentral:rRNA from 1 species
GACGUAGGGCGCGAGCGUUGUCCGGAUUUAUUGGGCGUAAAGAGCUCGUAGGCGGUCUGUCGCGUCUGCUGUGAAAAUCCAGGGCUCAACCCUGGACCUGCAGUGGGUACGGGCAGACUAGAGUGCGGUAGGGGAGAUCGGAAUUCCUGGUGUAGCGGUGAAAUGCGCAGAUAUCAGGAGGAACACCGGUGGCGAAGGCGGAUCUCUGGGCCGUAACUGACGCUGAGGAGCGAAAGCAUGGGGAGCGAACAGG